CAGACUUUUUUCUGAUAUUCUGUUAUUUUUGUGUGCUCCAUAUUACCACUGACUUCUCAGAAGUGUCUAUAGUCUUUUUAAAUAGAUUAAAUGAUGUUAGCCAAUGCCAAUUUCAUUCGUCUGAGCUAUUUUUCAGCAGACCAUUUAUUGUACAUGGAUUGCGCAGCUUGAUCGAAAGAGUGAUUCGGAUCAAAUACUGCCUCCCAUACUUUUCAGCCAUCCUUGCAGAGGAGUUCCGCAGUCUUCUUUUAAGCCUGAAGUGGUCUGGUGCAAUGAGGUUGAUGUAAAAGAAGGUUUGCGUCACACACCCUGAGACUACAUCCACUGUCAACAGUGUCAGCAUCUGGAGGAUUUUCAUUUUUUUGCCUCCUCUGUCUUCGGAGAUGGUGGCACCAGGGCGUCGGAGUCAUUUUGUCACUUUACAACGCUGACAGAGAGUCCGUAUCCAUCUGAUCCAUCAUGACAGAUAUUUUUCUUCAUGAUGCAGCAUUUGCCGAGGGAGAGAGCCUGAUACUCAGACGAGCACAGCAUAAAUAUAAAUCAAGAUCCAGGACUCAAGUUUCAUACACAAUUAGAGGUAUGUAUAAGGUUCAUGAAAAACACAAAUUUGCCUAAUUCUGAGGUGGGUAAAAUUAUGAGUAUAGGAAUGAGAGUACCAAUGCACCGGAUGUUGACAUCAGAGAAGUGUUAAUACAAGAUUGAGCCACGCAGAAAAAGGUAUGGCUAAGGUGAUUGGCUGAAUUAGUUGCUGAAAUAAUGAUUAUUUCAAAGUAAAUUUAUCACUGUUUAAAAUGAAUGAUGGAUUGAAGAAGUACUGCAAAAAGUGAAGAAAUAAGAGGGGUUGAAAUAGGGGGUGGGUGUCAAUUUUGGGACUUGGAUUUAUUUGCUGCGGAUCGCUGUAAGUUGUAAACAAGCUCAAUUUUGACCUAUAAACGCCACGGGACCCAAUGUAUUUCUAUUGAUUUUGUGUUAGUGCUUGGAAUGAACUUUCAAAUGUGACCAAGGAUAUGUCUGUAAGUAUAAUAGCAAACUAGCCAGGUGGGUUUAGGUUAACAUUGAGCCCUAUGGGAAAUGAAUUGGUACUCUUUUCCCUUCAUACACACACACUCACACGCUAAUAUGCACAUUUCGAUCCCGAUCACAAAAGGUCCAAGUUUCGUUUCCAGAUCCCGAUCUUAACGAUUGGAAAAACUGCUCCGCUGUUCCUCAUGACAAUGUUUGACUUUAUCUGACACCUUGUCCAAGAUGUCGAAUCGAUGCCUCUUCCCACCGUGGUCCUCCGCGAAUACUUUGCCGUUAUAGUACCACGCGCCUUUGAUCCGCUCGUCCAGAUUUAGAGUUUUGAUGAGUUGCGCGUUCAUCUGAGUCAGGUGGUCGUGCAUCACAAAGCGCUUCUUAAUUUCAUCUUUGGAACGAUUUUUUAUCACUUUAAUUUUUGUGUCUGUGUCGCGGAACUUCGCAAUGACGGGGCGCGGUCCUCCUCUGUUUCCUCCCGGUACUCUAUGUAUGGCUAAUACGUCGGACGCGUCCAGAUCUAUGUUGACCGUCUCCUUCAGAAUUCUACAGAGAUCGGAACGGAGGUUCUCAUGUUCGCUCUCCUGCCAAUUAGUAAAUUUAAUAUUGCUUUUCUGCGAAUAUUGUUGGUUGUUGUUGGCUAGGACAACUGCAGCGUCGGCUACGUGUUGACAUUCCUUUAAGUUUUGUUUUAGCUCUCUGAGUUCCUUUGCCUGUGUAGAAAAUUUUUCUCGCAGAGUUUCAAAUUCAAGUUGAAAGCCGUCGGAUAUUUCUUUCGUUUGAUGUUCAAAUUCUUUUGUUUUAGUGUCUAUUUUGUCAUUAAACUCUGUUUUUAUUUUGUCUGUCACACUCUGU